rnacentral:lncRNA from 1 species
GGACAAGAUAUCAUGUCCCAGAGCUGACAGUCUAAAGGAGAAAAGCAGAGGUCAAAGAGAUUAGAAACAGAUGGCUUACUAAUGAAGCGAUACUGAAUACUGCUUUUUCUUUUUUUUGGUAGAAGAUAUUGAAUACUGCUUAAAGUCUGGUCUAAGCUCUCUCUGAGGUGGACUAGAAGCUGAGGUAGAGGACUUUGCAGCCGGUUUUCCUUUUUCUUGGAUG